rnacentral:lncRNA from 1 species
GGGCAAAUUAGUAAUUUUACAUAUUUGUCCAACUUAGGCUUAGUCCAGGGACUAAUAGUCCCACCUCCCACCCCGGGACAGGAUAGUCCCACGUAUGCGGGACUAUUAGUCCGUUCGGACUAUUUGUCCGGAGUCAUUUUAUGUAAACAAAUAUGGGACUGGACUGGACUCGUUGUCCAGUCCGACCUAAUCCGGGCAAACA